rnacentral:rRNA from 1 species
GACGAACGCUGGCGGCGUGCUUAACACAUGCAAGUCGAACGGAAAGGCCCUGCUUUUGUGGGGUGCUCGAGUGGCGAGCGGGUGAGUAACACGUGAGUAACCUGCCCUUGACUUUGGGAUAACUUCAGGAAACUGGGGCUAAUACCGGAUAGGAGCUCCUGCUGCAUGGUGGGGGUGGGAAAGUUUCGGCGGUUGGGGAUGGACUCGCGGCUUAUCAGCUUGUUGGUGGGGUAGUGGCUUACCAAGGCUUUGACGGGUAGCCGGCCUGAGAGGGUGACCGGCCACAUUGGGACUGAGAUACGGCCCAGACUCCUACGGGAGGCAGCAGUGGGGAAUAUUGCACAAUGGGCGGAAGCCUGAUGCAGCAACGCCGCGUGCGGGAUGACGGCCUUCGGGUUGUAAACCGCUUUCGCCUGUGACGAAGCGUGAGUGACGGUAAUGGGUAAAGAAGCACCGGCUAACUACGUG